rnacentral:rRNA from 1 species
AUUGAACGCUGGCGGCAGGCCUAACACAUGCAAGUCGAGCGAGCGGCGGACGGGUGUGUAAUGUAUGGGGAUGUGCCCGAGAGGGGGGGAUAACUACUGGAAACGGUGGCUAAUCCCGCAUCAUAUCGUGUGACCCCAUAGGGGAUUAGCUAGUGGGGGGGGUAAAGGCUCACCUAGGCGACGAUCUCUAGCUGGUCUGAGAGGAUGAACAGCCACACUGGAACUGAGACACGGCCCAGACUCCUACGGGAGGCAGCAGUGGGGAAUAUGGCACAAUGGGCGCAAGCCUGAUGCAGCCAUGCCGCGUGUAUGAAGAAGGCCUUAGGGUUGUAAAGUACUUUCAGCGGGGAGGCGUUACCCGCAGAAGAAGCACCGGCUAACUCCGUGCCAGCAGCCGCGGUAAUUC